CAGAUCGUAUACGUCAUAGAUAUGGGAGGAGCUAUGUCAUGACAUCAUAGUACCGAAGGCCGUGGGCCUCCAGAUAUCUUGGUAACAAUUACGCGUCAGUUGUUCUCCAUCAACGGCUCUGAAACAUCCUCUUCAAAACCACAUCUCUUCAGAAACAUGUCGGACGAACAGCCAGCCGCUCCUACCGAGGGUGAGGCCGCGCCACCAUGCCCGGAAACAGACUCUGCCCUCAAACUUUGUGUGACGGAGAAAGGAGAAACCAACUGCCAAGCAUUGCUGGAGGCGCAUCAGGAAUGUUUAAAGAAAUUGGGUCUUGAAGUAUGAGGUAUAAUUUACUCUGCAGGAAGUGGUAGUACCGACCAUCCGUCCUGUAAAAUCUGGAAGCUGAUUGGCCAGAAUUCGAGGGGAUCGGAAAGGGCUAGUCUAACGUAUUUUUGUAAUGUAAUGAUUGUAAUGAUAAGUAUCUAAUUGCUGACUAAGUCAACAACAUCACUCAUCCAACAAUGUUGUAAAUAGUUCUAUUAUAAUGACUGCUCCUCACAGCGCGUCUUGUAUAUUCUGUAACCUUAGGAAGGUGCGAUAUAUGUAUAUCUGUUAAUUUUGCUCAUAUUAAGUGUAGAAGUGACUCUAGUGCAUGAUAUCCUUGGUCAGAGAAGUCCAGCCGAACUUCUCGAGUAUAAAUGAAAUUCUCAUUUCAACUGUGGUAUCUUAUAAGUGCAAUUGAUAGGCUUUUUUAUUUGCAUUAUAGUUUCACUUUAUUCAGGAAUAUAAUGAGGAGAACUUA